UGACUGCCAGAGAAAAUCAAUGUUAACCCCAAAACUUUGUGUUUUUUAUUACGUGAAUUGAUCCUAAGUCGUUUUAUCUUAUUUCUUAAAAAAUUCUCAUCCUAAACUUUUCUACUAAUCUACAAAGACUCAUAUGCUCCAGGUGUAUUUUAAGUCUAUAUAUUCCAGGUGCUAAAACGUAAAGACGAUUUCUAAAUCAGUAUUCAAUCAAGUGAUCUAAUACUCCUAGGAAAAAUGUUCGUGUUCU